AGGAGGCAGCAGUGGGGAAUUUUGGACAAUGGGGGCAACCCUGAUCCAGCCAUGCCGCGUGAGUGAAGAAGGCCUUCGGGUUGUAAAGCUCUUUCGGUGGGAACGAAACGGUCUGUGUUAAUACCACGGACUACUGACGGUACUCACAGAAGAAGCACCGGCUAACUACGUGCCAGCAGCCGCGGUAAUACGUAGGGUGCGAGCGUUAAUCGGAAUUACUGGGCGUAAAGCGUGCGCAGGCGGCGCGUUAAGACAGGUGUGAAAGCCCCGAGCUUAACUUGGGAAUUGCGCUUGUGACUGGCGUGCUGGAGUGUGGCAGAGGGAGGUGGAAUUCCACGUGUAGCAGUGAAAUGCGUAGAGAUGUGGAGGAACACCGAUGGCGAAGGCAGCCUCCUGGGCCAACACUGACGCUCAUGCACGAAAGCGUGGGGAGCAAACAGGAUUAGAUACCCCGGU
rnacentral:rRNA from 1 species